rnacentral:rRNA from 1 species
CAGUCGCCACGGUAAUACGAAGGGGGCUAGCGUUGCUCGGAAUGACUGGGCGUAAAGGGCGCGUAGGCGGCGAUCAAAGUCAGGCGUGAAAUUCCUGGGCUCAACCUGGGGGCUGCGCUUGAUACUUGGUUGCUUGAGUGGGGAAGAGGGUCGUGGAAUUCCCAGUGUAGAGGUGAAAUUCGUAGAUAUUGGGAAGAACACCGGUGGCGAAGGCGGCGACCUGGUCCUUGACUGACGCUGAGGCGCGAAAGCGUGGGGAGCAAACAGGAUUAGAGACCCCCGUAGUCCCUGUCUCUUAUAC